UGUGUAUCAGGACUGGUGCCUGUCUUCC
rnacentral:piRNA from 1 species